rnacentral:rRNA from 1 species
UACGAAGGGGGCGAGCGUUGUUCGGAUUUACUGGGCGUAAAGAGCGCGCAGGCGGUCGAUCAAGUCGGGUGUGAAAGCCCCCGGCUCAACUGGGGAGGGUCAUUCGAUACUGAUCGACUCGAAGGCAGGAGAGGGUAGUGGAAUUCCCGGUGUAGUGGUGAAAUGCGUAGAUAUCGGGAGGAACACCAGUGGCGAAGGCGACUACCUGGCCUGUUCUUGACGCUGAGGCGCGAAAGCUAGGGGAGCAAACGGG